rnacentral:tRNA from 1 species
GCCUGGGUGGCUCAGCGGUUUAGCGCCUGCCUUCAGCCCAGGACGUGAUCCUGGGGUCCCGGAUCGAGUCCCAGCUCAGGCU